CUGCUCUCUGCUCUGCAGUCACCACGUUUCUUCCAGACAGGCCUGUGCACACUCCCUCUCCCUACCCUUUACUAAUAAAACUCUUUUUGUUUUGUUUUUUUUUUCGAGACAGGGCUUCUCUGUGGCUUUGGAGGCUGUCCUGGACUAGCUCUUGUAGACCAGGCUGGUCUCAAACUCACAGAGAUCCUCUGCCUCUGCCUCCCGAGUACUGGGGUUAAAGGGCAGCCAGUUUGGUCUCUAUCACGUAGAUGCUGGGGAUCAAACUCAGCUGUUAGGCUUGGUGACGAGCAAACACCUUUGCCCACUCUGAAGCUGGUCUUGAACUUCUGGACUCAAAGAGAUCAUCCUACCUCAGCUUUGCUGUCAGGUUUCUGCUUCUGGAAGACACAUCUGAGUAUCAGUUGCUGACCACAGGCUGUUCCUAAGUAGAUUUCGAACCCUGGACUUGCUGUGGAUGUAAACCAGUCCAGCUGAUAUGGACACCCCCUGUCUCUGCAACAGAAUCUGCCAACCAGAAGCUCCUGAUGGAUUCCCCAUUGCCUAAAUUCCUUUUUUUGCUUUUGACUAACCUUUCAACCUUCUUGGGUCCCUAACUUCGUCCCAGGUCAGCAGGAAGUAGCAUGGGAAAGAAUAUGUCGUCCAUUUUCCCUGGUUAAAAUGCUAAGUCAGAAGGAACUCCCUUGCAUGGGGAUGCCAAUAUCUCUCACUUCCUGAUGAGGAUGAGGGAGAGACAGCAAUUCCAUGAUUGGAAUUUCCAAAAAAGAAAAUGGGGGAAUGAAGGGACCAGCUCCCCAUUUCAGCAGCCAUAACAGCUGGACACGUGCUUUUCUGACCUUGCCUUGGUCACUAGAAGUUAGGUGCCUGCCUCGUGGCAAGGAACCAAUCAGAAGUUAGCUGGUGGUGCUAUGAUUUACGGCUCUGGGUGUGCUUUAUGGACAAGCGCACAGCAAUGACGCACAGAGCAUAGCAGCCACCCUGGGAGGGCCUAUGGGCCAUAACAACCAGUUGACCAAUCAACACAGGGCAAGCCCUCCAAGCCUGGAGGCACACCAAUCGUGAGGCUGUGCGUACCCCUAGACACUCCCCUUACGCUGCCCUAUAAGAUCUCUAUACAGCCAGUUCGAGCUGUCUUUGCUAGCCAUCUGCUAUGGCGGGUGGGUGAAAGACCAGAGCUAACAUGGGUUUAGCUUGUUAAACAACAAUAAAGCCUCAUGCAGUUUGCAUCAAGCUUUUGACUCAGCCUGGUGAUUGGGGUGGCCGAGGUCCUGGGCUAAGAUCCUGGAAGCCUGAGCUUUCCCGGGGUCUUACAGUGUGUGCUACUUGGCUUGGC
rnacentral:lncRNA from 1 species